GGGUGUGUGUGUGUGUGUGUGAAGCUUUCCAGGGGAGAAAAUCAUGAAUUUGAUUCUGUAUGCACAGCUCAUUCUAAUAAUACUGAUUAUAAAAUAAUUCUACCUUUGUUCUGGUACCUGUCAGCAAAGACAUGUUCUCACAGGCAAAGGUUCUAGGUUGCAUGAGGUACGGCAUAGCCUUUGUUCCUCACAAAUAAUGUACAUGGACUUACAGAAUGCAGACUAUUAACUUAAUACAGUGGUACCUCGGGUUACAUACACUUCAG